rnacentral:rRNA from 1 species
GAUCCUGGCUCAGAUUGAACGCUGGCGGCAUGCCUUACACAUGCAAGUCGAACGGCAGCACGGACUUCGGUCUGGUGGCGAGUGGCGAACGGGUGAGUAAUAUAUCGGAACAUACCCUAGAGUGGGGAUAACGUAGCGAAAGUUACACUAAUACCGCAUACGAACUAAGGUUGAAAGUGGGGGAUCGCAAGACCUCAUGCUCAUGGAGUGGCCGAUAUCUGAUUAGCUAGUUGGUGAGGUAAAGGCUCACCAAGGCGACGAUCAGUAGCUGGUCUGAGAGGACGACCAGCCACACUGGAACCGAGACACGGUCCAGACUCCUACGGGAGGCAGCAGUGGGGAAUUUUGGACAAUGGGGGCAACCCUGAUCCAGCAAUGCCGCGUGAGUGAAGAAGGCCUUCGGGUUGUAAAGCUCUUUUGUCAGGGAAGAAACGGUUGUGGCUAAUAUCCAUGGCUAAUGACGGUACCUGAAGAAUAAGCACCGGCUAACUACGUG